rnacentral:rRNA from 1 species
UACGGGGGGGGGCAAGCGUUGUUCGGAAUUACUGGGCGUAAAGGGCUCGUAGGCGGCCAACUAAGUCAGACGUGAAAUCCCUCGGCUUAACCGGGGAACUGCGUCUGAUACUGGAUGGCUUGAGAUUGGGAGAGGGAUGCGGAAUUCCAGGUGUAGCGGUGAAAUGCGUAGAUAUCUGGAGGAACACCGGUGGCGAAGGCGGCAUUCUGGACCGAUAUUGACGCUGAGGUGCGAAAGCGUGGGGAGCAAACAGG